CACAUAUCGAAGUAUCGAACGCUCCCUUGUAGUCAUAUUUACAAAAAAACAUCUACAAAAAAUUUUAUUCUGGAAUUUUUUAAAUUUCCAAUAAAUUUUUCAUUGUUAUAAAUAUUUUUGAAAAAUCUAUCAUUUCUGUUCAUAGAUAUCUUAUAUUAGUUUAUCCAUUGUAUCAUUUUUUUGUCAUUCAAUAACUAAAAACGAAAAUAUCAUGGGCGUUGUUCACAAUUCAAAUGAAUUGACCUCCGAAAAAAAAAAUAUACGAUUACCACAACAAUUCAACUGAUUACUUCACAGUACAAUUUAUUAAACUCUAUAGUAUAUACUUGAUAAAAAAAAAAAAAAAAAUUAAAUUUGAUAACUUGCGGGUCAUCGUUAUUAUUUUUUAUCAUUAUUACCAAGGUUUUAAUACAAGCUCAGUGCUCUAUCAUUUUGAACAUUAAUAACUCUAAAAAACUUUCAGUCUUACAAAAAAAAUCAACACUUGUUCUACAGAUAAUAUAAAAAAAUAUUUCUAUUUUUUUUUUUUAGUUGCACAUAAUAUCUCAAAAUGCGUUUAGUAAUUUGCGAUAAAGUAGAUUACGUAUCUGAGUGGUCAGCUAAAUACGUGAUGAAAAAAAUUCUGGACUUCAAACCCAACGAAAAUAAAUUUUUCGUUCUUCUUCAACUUCCAACUGGAGGAACACCUCUCGGAAUGUACAAAAAACUAAUUGAGUAUUAUAACGCUGGAAAGGUAUCUUUCAAGUACGUCAAAACAUUCAACAUGGAUGAAUACGUAGAUCUUCCGAGGGAUCAUCCAGAAUCAUACCAUUACUACAUGUAUAAUAAUUUUUUUAAGCACAUUGACAUUGAUCCUCAGAAUGUUCAUAUCUUGGAUGGAAAUGCACCUGACCUCAACAAAGAAUGUGAAGAAUAUGAAAAAAAAAUCAGUGAAGCUGAUGGAAUUGAGCUAUUUGUUGGAGGAAUCGGUCCAGAUGGACAUAUUGCAUUUAAUGAGCCCGGUUCAUCACUUGCCUCUAGAACUCGUGUUAAAACCCUAGCUCAGGAUACACUUGAAGCAAACGCAAGAUUCUUCAACAAUGACAUCGAUAAAGUACCUAAACAGGCAUUGACCGUUGGUGUGGGUACUGUUAUGGAUGCCAAAGAAGUUAUGAUAUUGAUAACUGGAUCACACAAAGCAUUUGCUCUCUAUAAAGCUGUUGAAGAAGGCAUCAACCAUAUGUGGACUGUCUCUGCAUUUCAACAGCAUCCAAAAACUUUAUUUAUUUGUGAUGAAGAUGCAACACUCGAGUUACGUGUUAAAACUGUUAAAUAUUUCAAGUUAAUUACUUUUAAAUAUAUAUUAUCAGGCACUUAGUGAGGUGCACAUGAAACUCAUCGAAGAUGAUCACUCAAUAUCACGUCGUAGUGUAAUUGAAUAAUAAGACUGUUCAUCUCCAUCAAUCUCGAAAGAUUUUACAUGAAAUAAAUUUUAUCAACUUCAACUAUUUUACAAUUUUCAUCUUCUUCAUUAAAAACGACUUAUUUACAGGCUGACUUCAUCUUUUUAACA